AGUUUGAUCCUGGCUCAGGAUGAACGCUAGCGGCAGGCCUAAUACAUGCAAGUCGAACGGUGAUAGCAAUAUCAUAGUGGCGCACGGGUGCGUAACACGUAUGCAACCUACCUAUUAUUGGGGGAUAGCCUUUGGAAACGGAGAUUAAUACCGCAUAAUACGAUUGACUGGCAUCGGUUGAUUGUUAAAGCUUUGGCGAUAAUAGAUGGGCAUGCGUCCAAUUAGUUAGUUGGUUAGGUAACGGCUGACCAAGACGAUGAUUGGUAGGGGAUCUGAGAGGAUAAUCCCCCACACUGGCACUGAGAUACGGGCCAGACUCCUACGGGAGGCAGCAGUAGGGAAUAUUGGGCAAUGGGCGGAAGCCUGACCCAGCCAUGCCGCGUGCAGGAAGAAGGCGUUAUGCGUUGUAAACUGCUUUUUUAUAGGAAGAAGGAUCCCUUGCGAGGGAAGGUGACGGUACUAUAAGAAUAAGCACCGGCUAACUCCGUGCCAGCAGCCGCGGUAAUACGGAGGGUGCAAGCGUUGUCCGGAUUUAUUGGGUUUAAAGGGUGCGUAGGCGGUUUAUUAAGUCAGUGGUGAAAGACGGUCGCUCAACGAUUGCAGUGCCAUUGAUACUGGUAGACUUGAGUGAGAUUGAGGUAGCUGGAAUGGAUAGUGUAGCGGUGA
rnacentral:rRNA from 1 species